rnacentral:rRNA from 1 species
GUGGGGAAUAUUGGGCAAUGGGCGAAAGCCUGACCCAGCAACGCCGCGUGAAGGAAGAAGGCUUUCGGGUUGUAAACUUCUUUUACCAGGGACGAAACAAAUGACGGUACCUGGUGAAUAAGCCACGGCUAACUACGUGCCAGCAGCCGCGGUAAUACGUAGGUGGCGAGCGUUAUCCGGAUUUAUUGGGUGUAAAGGGCGUGUAGGCGGGACAGCAAGUCAGAUGUGAAAACCAGAGGCUCAACCUCUGGCCUGCAUUUGAAACUGUUGUUCUUGAGUGUCGGAGAGGUAAUCGGAAUUCCGUGUGUAGCGGUGAAAUGCGUAGAUAUACGGAGGAACACCAGUGGCGAAGGCGGAUUACUGGACGAUAACUGACGCUGAGGCGCGAAAGCGUGGGGAGCAAACAGGAUUAGAAACCCGGGUAGUCC